UCACUUACCUGGACGGGGUCUAUUGGUGAUCAAGAAGACCUAUGACCUAAACUAGUGUCCUCCAUUGCACCUAGGAGGAGCAUUGGUUUACCAUCUCCCCGUGUGGGAGAGUGGACGUCAUAAUUUGUGGUAGCGGGGGUACGCGUUCGCGCGGCCCCUAC
rnacentral:snRNA from 16 species